UACAGAGGUCCCAAGCGUUGUUCGGAUUCACUGGGCGUAAAGGGUGCGUAGGCGGUUGGGUAAGUCCGACGUGAAAUCUCCGAGCCUAACUCGGAAACUGCAUCGGAUACUAUUCAACUCGAGGGAUGGAGGGGAGACUGGAAUUCUCGGUGUAGCAGUGAAAUGCGUAGAUAUCGAGAGGAACACCAGUGGCGAAGGCGAGUCUCUGGACAUUUCCUGACGCUGAGGCACGAAAGCCAGGGGAGCAAACGGG
rnacentral:rRNA from 1 species